rnacentral:rRNA from 1 species
CAGCCGCCGCGGUAAUACGUAGGUGGCAAGCGUUGUCCGGAAUUAUUGGGCGUAAAGGGCUCGCAGGCGGUUUCUUAAGUCUGAUGUGAAAGCUCCCGGCUCAACCGGGGAGGGUCAUUGGAAACUGGGAAACUUGAGUGCAGAAGAGGAGAGUGGAAUUCCACGUGUAGCGGUGAAAUGCGUAGAGAUGUGGAGGAACACCAGUGGCGAAGGCGACUCUCUGGUCUGUAACUGACGCUGAGGAGCGAAAGCGUGGGGAGCGAACAGGAUUAGAUACCCCCGUAGUCCCUGUCUCUUAUAC